rnacentral:lncRNA from 1 species
CCUGCGUCCUUGUCUAAGAAACCUCCACUAGCAGCUGCUGCCUCUUCAGAGGCGAAUCCCAGGCUGGAAGUAUCCUAGCCAGGUCUGCCUGUGACGGCAGGGCCCACCCUCCCACCAGGCCUGGGAGGCGGUAGGUGCCACCUCAGAGAGGGCCUGGCUGGCCCCAUGACAAGAACAAGAAGUGCUAACUGGUACCAGAGUCCCCAGAUAGAGCUGCGAGGGCCCUCGCUGUGGGCGCGAGCUCCGGAGUAGCAGGCUGCCCGUGCUCCCACUCCAACACUAAAAGCGGCUCCCUUAGGGGCUGAGCGUGGGUGCUCAGUGUUCACGCUAUAUCCCUUGGGCAAUGUGGGGUUGGAUGGGGCCCCCACUUCCAUUCCCAUGGAAGGAGGCCAGGUCCCCAGCCACCUCCCACUCAGCCAUGCACGCACUUGCUGGGCUGGCCUCCUGGGAAACACAGGUGACUCGAAUGAACUCUGCAUUUUCAACGUGCCUUCUACUGCUUCAGGACCUGGGGGUCCCCCUGACCCUCACUGGCUUGCCCCCAGCCCUGGGCCUGGCCCCACCUGUCCUGGAG